rnacentral:rRNA from 1 species
GAGUUUGAUCUUGGCUCAGAACAAACGCUGGCGGCGUGCCUAAUACAUGCAAGUCGAACGAGUAGCAAUACUAGUGGCGCACGGGUGAGUAACACGUAGAUAAUCUGCCCUUUAGUGGGGAAUAACUGAUCGAAAGAUUAGCUAAUACCGCAUAAGACCACGGAAGCUGAGGCUUCAGAGGUUAAAGGAGUAAUUCGCUAAAGGAUGAGUCUGCGUAAGAUUAGCUAGUUGGUGGGGUAAAGGCCUACCAAGGCGAUGAUCUUUAGCUGGUCUGAGAGGAUGAUCAGCCACACUGGAACUGAGACACGGUCCAGACUCCUACGGGAGGCAGCAGUAGGGAAUAUUGCACAAUGGGGGAAACCCUGAUGCAGCAACGCCGCGUGAGGGAUGAAGGCCUUCGGUUGUAACC